GUAGGUGGCAAGCGUUGUCCGGAAUUAUUGGGGCGUAAAGCGCGCGCAGGCGGUUCGUUUAAGUCUGAUGUGAAAGCCCACGGGCUCAACCGUGGAGGGUCAUUGGAAACUGGAGAACUUGAGUACAGAAGAGGAAAGCGGAAUUCCACGUGUAGCGGUGAAAUGCGUAGAGAUGUGGAGGAACACCAGUGGCGAAGGCGGCGUUUCUGGUCUGUAACUGACGCUGAGGGCGCGAAAGCGUGGGGGAGCAAACAGGAUUAGAUACCCUGGUAGUCCACGCCGUAAACGAUGAGUGCUAAGUGUUAGGGGGUUUCCGCCCCUUAGUGCUGCAGCUAACGCAUUAAGCACUCCGCCUGGGGAGUACGGCCGCAAAGGCUGA
rnacentral:rRNA from 1 species